rnacentral:siRNA from 1 species
GAACUAUCCAAUACAGACCAGGA